CGGCGGGGUAGAGGCCCGCCGCGGUAACGACGGGUAACGGGGAAUCAGGGUUCGAUUCCGGAGAGGGAGCCCGAGAAACGGCUACCACUUCCAAGGAAGGCAGCAGGCGCGCAACUUACCCUAAUCUCGAUUCGAGGAGUUAGUGACAAGAAAUACCGAUGCGGGACCCUACGGGUGCCGCGUUCGGAAUGAGUACGAUUCGAACCACCUAACGAGGAACGAUCGGAGGGCAAGUCUGGUGCCAGCAGCCGCGGUAAUUCCAGCUCCAAUAGCGUACGUUAAAGUUGCUGCAGUUAAAAAGCUCGUAGUUGAACGUUCGGGUUCCGCGGGACGGGGCCGCCCCGCGAGGGACGGCGCCGCCCCGGGGCUCGUGAUAUCUCAUCUCGCCGCCCGUCGCGAGGCGGACGGAGGGAUGGAUGAGGUUACCUGGAAAAAAUCGGGGCGAUCUAGGCGGGC
rnacentral:rRNA from 1 species